UUUAUUGUGAAGGGAUGUUGAAUUUUGUCAAAGGCUUCUUCUGGUUUUUGUCUUUCAGGCUAUUUAUAUGGUGGAUUACAUUUGUCAAUUUAUGUAUGUUGAACCAUCUCUACAUCUCUGGAAUGCAGCCUACUUGAUCACGAUUCCAGGCCUGCUGUGAAGAAGAGGAUUGAGGACUGCUGCUGUAAUCCUAGACAAAAGCCCCCAUGGCGGAGGAGAUAAGCCACUUCUUGAUAGAAAGGUUCAAGUGAAGGAUUGUCCACGGAGCUCUCUCUCCAGCCCCCGAAGCCCUGUGAAAGUAUUUUUCCCUGUACUGAGAAUGAAACCCAAGGCCUUCUCCAUGAUCGCAUCUCAUGUAGUACAUGACCUGGAACACAUGGAAGCUGAGAAGAAUGGUCAUGAACUCUUGCUCCUCUUGCCUUUGACCUCCUAAGUCCUGGGAUCUCUGGUGUGGACACCAUACCUGGCUGGUUCCAGGGAUGAAAUUCAAGUCAUGGGCUUGGCAGCAAGCACCUCUACCUGACGAGCCAUCUUGCUAGCCUGAAGCUCAGUUUAAGCGUCAGCAUACACUUGCUGGGCCUUCUUUGUUCCAGCGUUGCAGUUAAACCUGGAUCAGGCUUAGGCAUUCUAACCACGGAAGAUGGUUUCCAAUUUUGCAACCAUGAUAUAAACAAGUAGGACAACUGUGAUGAUUAAUUUUGUAUACCAAGUUGGCUGGGUCAUGCUGCCCAGAUAUUUGGUUAAACAUUAUUCAGAAUGUUUCUUGUGAUGGUGUUUUUGGAAGAGAUUAACAUUUAAAUGAGCGGACUUUGGGUAAAGCAGCUUACUCUUCAUAAUGUUACUGGACCUCAUCCAAUUGGCUAACAGCCUUAUUGCAUCGAACACUGACCCAGAGGAAGAAGGAUUUCUGCUAGAACCUAUUGACCCAAACUGAAACAAAACCUUUCAUAGGUCACCACAGUCACGAGUGCCAAUUCUA